rnacentral:rRNA from 1 species
AUUGAACGCUGGCGGCAGGCCUAACACAUGCAAGUCGAGCGGAUGAAGGGAGCUUGCUCCUGGAUUCAGCGGCGGACGGGUGAGUAAUGCCUAGGAAUCUGCCUGGUAGUGGGGGAUAACGUCCGGAAACGGGCGCUAAUACCGCAUACGUCCUGAGGGAGAAAGUGGGGGAUCUUCGGACCUCACGCUAUCAGAUGAGCCUAGGUCGGAUUAGCUAGUUGGUGGGGUAAAGGCCUACCAAGGCGACGAUCCGUAACUGGUCUGAGAGGAUGAUCAGUCACACUGGAACUGAGACACGGUCCAGACUCCUACGGGAGGCAGCAGUGGGGAAUAUUGGACAAUGGGCGGAAGCCUGAUCCAGCCACGCCGCGUGUGUGAAGAAGGUCUUCGGAUUGUAAAGCACUUUAAGUUGGGAGGAAGGGCAGUAAGUUAAUACCUUGCUGUUUUGACGUUACCAACAGAAUAAGCACCGGCUAACUUCGUG